rnacentral:rRNA from 1 species
GAUGAACGCUGACAGAAUGCUUAACACAUGCAAGUCUACUUGAAUUUGGGUUUUUUAACUUAGAUUUGGGUGGCGGACGGGUGAGUAACGCGUAAAGAACUUGCCUCACAGCUAGGGACAACAUUUGGAAACGAAUGCUAAUACCUGAUAUUAUGAUUUUAAGGCAUCUUAGAAUUAUGAAAGCUAUACGCGCUGUGAGAGAGCUUUGCGUCCCAUUAGCUAGUUGGAGAGGUAACGGCUCACCAAGGCGAUGAUGGGUAGCCGGCCUGAGAGGGUGAACGGCCACAAGGGGACUGAGACACGGCCCUUACUCCUACGGGAGGCAGCAGUGGGGAAUAUUGGACAAUGGACCGAGAGUCUGAUCCAGCAAUUCUGUGUGCACGAUGACGUUUUUCGGAAUGUAAAGUGCUUUCAGUUGGGAAGAAAAAAAUGACGGUACCAACAGAAGAAGUGACGGCUA